AUAGCUCAAUGGUAGAGCACUUGCCUAACAUGUGCAAGGCCCUGGGUUUGAUCCCCAGU
rnacentral:tRNA from 1 species